rnacentral:tRNA from 15 species
CUGGGACGGAAGGAUUCGAACCUCCGAAUAGCGGGAUCAAAACCCGUUGCCUUACCGCUUGGCUACGCCCCA